GUCCACGCCGUAAACGAUGAGAGCUAGUUGUCAGGCAGCAUGCUGUCUGGUGACGCAGCUAACGCAUUAAGCUCUCCGCCUGGGGAGUACGGCCGCAAGGUUAAAACUCAAAGAAAUUGACGGGGGCCCGCACAAGCGGUGGAGCAUGUGGUUUAAUUCGAAGCAACGCGAAGAACCUUACCUGCGCUUGACAUCCCUAUCGCGGAUUAGAGAGAUCUUUUCCUUCAGUUCGGCUGGAUAGGU
rnacentral:rRNA from 1 species